CCUACGGGAGGCAGCAGUGGGGAAUAUUGGUCAAUGGGCGCAAGCCUGAUCCAGCUAUUCCGCGUGUGGGAUGCCGGCCCUCGGAUUGUAACCCACUUUAGUAGCGAACGAAAAGGCACUAUCUCAUAAAUAACUCUACUGACGGUACUCGCAGAAUAAGCACCGGCUAACUACGUGCCAGCAGCCGCGGUAAUACGUAGGCUACGAGCGUUAAUCGGAAUUACUGGGCGUAAAGGGUGUGUAGGCGGUUGAGUAAGACAGAUGUGAAAUCCCCGGGCUUAACCUGGGAACCGCAUGUGUUACUGGUUGGCUAGAGUGCGUCAGAGGGAGGUGGAAUUCCAGGUGUAGCAGUGAAAUGCGUAGAUAUGGGGAAGAACACCGAUGGCGAAGGCAGCCUCCUGGGACGCAACUGACGCUCAUACACGAAAGCGUGGGGAGCAAACAGGAUUAGAUACCCGAGUAGUC
rnacentral:rRNA from 1 species